GAUGAACGCUGGCGGCGUGCCUAAUACAUGCCAGUCGAGCGAACAGACGAGGAGCUUGCUCCUCUGACGUUAGCGGCGGACGGGUGAGUAACACGUGGAUAACCUACCUAUAAGACUGGGAUAACUUCGGGAAACCGGAGCUAAUACCGGAUAAUAUAUUGAACCGCAUGGUUCAAUAGUGAAAGACGGUUUUGCUGUCACUUAUAGAUGGAUCCGCGCCGCAUUAGCUAGUUGGUAAGGUAACGGCUUACCAAGGCAACGAUGCGUAGCCGACCUGAGAGGGUGAUCGGCGACACUGGAACUGAGACAGGGUCAAGACUCCUACGGGAGGCAGCAGAAGGGAAUGUUACGCAAUGGGCGAAAGCAUGACGGAGCAACGCCGCGUGAGUGAUGAAGGUCUUCGGAUCGUAAAGCUCUGUUAUUAGGGAAGAACAAAUGUGUAAGUAACUAUGCACGUCUUGACGGUACCUAAUCAGAAAGCCACGGCUAACUACGUG
rnacentral:rRNA from 1 species